rnacentral:rRNA from 1 species
GACAGAGGGUGCAAGCGUUGUUCGGAAUCAUUGGGCGUAAAGGGCGCGUAGGCGGUUUUGUAAGUCGAAUGUGAAAGCCCAGGGCUCAACCUUGGAAGUGCAUCCGAAACUGCGAAACUUGAAUCCUGGAGAGGGUGGUGGAAUUCCCAGUGUAGAGGUGAAAUUCGUAGAUAUUCGGAAGAACACCAGUGGCGAAGGCGACUAACUGGACAUGUAUUGACGCUGAGGUGCGAAAGCGUGGGGAGCAAACAGG